rnacentral:SRP_RNA from 1 species
GAUGAGGCUUGGGCGGCGUCAUGCUCUGAACCUGGUCAGGUCCUGGCGGAAGCAGCCAUAAGGGGCCGCUGACGAGCGCUCAAGCCUCCUGCUU